rnacentral:rRNA from 1 species
CCUACGGGAGGCUGCAGUGAGGAAUAUUGGUCAAUGGGCGCUAGCCUGAACCAGCCAAGUAGCGUGAAGGAUGACUGCCCUAUGGGUUGUAAACUUCUUUUAUAUGGGAAUAAAGUGCAGUAUGUAUACUGCUUUGCAUGUACCUAAUGAAUAAGGAUCGGCUAACUACGUGCCAGCAGCCGCGGUAAUACGGAGGGUCCGAGCGUUAUCCGGAUUUAUUGGGUUUAAAGGGAGCGUAGGUGGGUUGUUAAGUCAGUUGUGAAAGUUUGCGGCUCAACCGUAAGAUUGCAGUUGAUACUGGCAUCCUUGAGUACAGUAGAGGUAGGCGGAAUUCGUAGUGUAGCGGUGAAAUGCGUAGAUAUCACGAAGAACUCCGAUUGCGAAGGCAGCCUGCUGGACUGUAACUGACGCUGAUGCUCGAAAGUGUGGGUAGCAAACAGGAUUAGAUACCCGAGUAGUC